rnacentral:tRNA from 1 species
GCCUGGAUGGCUAAGUCAGUUAAGCAUCUGACUCUGACUCAGGUCAUCAGCAUUGGUUGAGCUCGAGCCCCACUUCAGGUG